GCAGUGGUGAUUCACUGGUAGAACUGUUGCCUUCUAUGUGGGAUUAAAAAACCCUGGGUUCAAUUCCUAGCCAGUGCA
rnacentral:tRNA from 1 species